UACAGCAAAUCACUCGCCACCAAUUCGAUUCCCCUCAUUUAUUCUUUUGGCAGAAUGGUUAGUGUUUAAUUCACGACAGCAUCUUUGCCAUAGGGCUCUAUAAAACUAAGCAUUGGUAAGCUCUAUCAUGCAAACCAAUACAAGCUCUUUGAUUUAAAUAUAGCCAUCGAUCAACAUGUGUAUAUGCAUCAAAUGUGGAUGCUUUAGCUGCAAAAAUACAAGCGGCGAGCGAGACGAGAAGGCGGGAGCGGCGGACUGUGUUGAUAUUAUGCUCGCAAUCUUGUUGCCUCCUGCUGGGAUUUAUAAAAAAGAAGGCUGUACGGGACGAUUCUGGGCAAAUGUAGUAUUGACGGUAUUAGGAAUUGCUCCAGGAAGCAUCCACGCUGUCAUUUGCAUAUCAGGCAAAUGAAAAAUUUAAGAUUUUGAGUCAAUCACUAUUAUUGUACCAUUGCAUCUUAUCAAUUGUUUAUGCUUGCUAAUUAGGCUCCCUUUUUACAUCUAUGUUUGGUUGAAUGAAUCUUGGUAUUUAACAUUUCCCUAAAAUAAAUUAUUUGUUUCUUGUCGAUAA